GACGAACGCUGGCGGCGUGCUUAACACAUGCAAGUCGAACGAAGUGGCGAACGGGUGAGUAACGCGUAAUCAACCUGCCCGUCAGAGGGGGACAACAGUUGGAAACGACUGCUAAUACCGAAUACUGAAGGAGGGGAUUGCGUCUGAUUAGCUAGUUGGAGGGGUAACGGCCCACCAAGGCGAUGAUCAGUAGCCGGUCUGAUAAGAUGAACGGCCACAUUUGGACUGGGGACCGGCCCAGACUCCCUCGGGGGGCAGCAGUGGGGAAUCUUCCGCAAUGGACGAAAGCCUGACGGAGCAACGCCGCGUGAGUGAUGACGGCCUUCGGGUUGGAAAGCUCUGUUAAUCGGGACGCGGUACCUGAAUAGAAAGCCACGGCUAACUACGUGCCAGCAGCCGCGGUAAUUC
rnacentral:rRNA from 1 species